AGACCUGGACCUUGGGGGUGAGGUGGAGGGAUGGAAUCCUUUAGCCCUGCCCCUCUCCCAGGAGCCCAGCCCCUCUAACCAGGACUGAGGAGGAUUGGAGGGAAGAAGGGAGGGAGGGAGCCAGAGUGUGAAGGGCACAGCUGCUGGCAAUGCCCCAUUCCCUGCUCCAGCACUUCCCAGCCUUUCCAGGAGCUCAGACCCACCCCUGCUCAGGGAGUCAGGUGCCCAGGGAGUCAGGUGCCCAGGGUAAGGAA